rnacentral:rRNA from 1 species
UACUAGAGUAGCACUCGCAUAUCAAUAAGCGGAGGAAAAGAAACUAACAAGGAUUCCCCUAGGUAACGGCGAGUGAAGCGGGAAGAGCUCAAAUUUGAAAUCUUAAAGGGUUUCCCUUUACGAAUUGUAGUUUAAAGAAGUGUUUUCUGUUGAGGUUUUGGUAAAAGUUCUUUGGAAUAGGACAUCAUAGAGGGUGAGAAUCCCGUAUUUGACCUUUACUUUCAACUUUGUGAUACACUUUCUAAGAGUCGGAUUGUUUGGGAAUGCAGUCCAAAAUGGGUGGUAAAUUUCAUCUAAAGCUAAAUAUUGGCGAGAGACCGAUAGCGAACAAGUACCGUGAGGGAAAGAUGAAAAGAACUUUGAAAAGAGAGUUAAACAGUACGUGAAAUUGUCAAAAGGGAAGCGUUUGACACCAGUGUUGUUUUUCUGAAAAUCAAUUAAAGAACUGUUUAUGCUAAGCUGUUUAGACUUUAUCAGCUAUCUGUUUAGUUUUGAGCUUUUCUUUAAUGCACUUUUCAGUUAACAAGUCAACAUCAAUUUCUUUUGCUGUAAAAAAGCUUGAGGAAGGUGGCUUGAGAUUCGUCUUAAGUGUUUAUAGCCUCUUGCCUAUGCAGUCGGAGAGAUUGAGGUCUGCAGCGUAGAUCCUUCGGGGCUAAAUGCAUUUGUGCUAAGUUAUAGCAUUUUAUAGACAACUUGUUGACUAUGAUUUGUCUUGUAGCUUACUCGCUUAUGUUAUUUUACCUACGCUUAGGAUGUUGAGCGCAUGUCUCUCUCU